rnacentral:piRNA from 1 species
CUUCCUCCAACAAGGCCACACCUCUU